GAUGAACGCUGGCGGCGUGCCUAAUACAUGCAAGUCGAGCGAACAGACGAGGAGCUUGCUCCUCUGACGUUAGCGGCGGACGGGUGAGUAACACGUGGAUAACCUACCUAUAAGACUGGGAUAACUUCGGGAAACCGGAGCUAAUAACGGAUAAUAUAUUGAACCGCAUGGUUCAAUAGUGAAAGACGGUUUUGCUGUCACUUAUAGAUGGAUCCGCGCCGCAUUAGCUAGAUGGUAAGGUAACGGCUUACCAAGGGAACGGUGCGGAGCCGACCUGAGAAGGUGAUCGGCCACACUGGAACUGAGACACGCUCCAGACUCCUACGGGAGGCAGCAGUAGGGAAUCUUCCGCAAUGGGCGAAAGCGUGACGGAGCAACGCCGCGUGAGUGAUGAAGGUCUUCGGAUCGUAAACCUCUGUUAUUAGGGAAGAACAAAUGUGUAAGUAACUAUGCACGUCUUGACGGUACCUAAUCAGAAAGCCCCGGCUAACUACGUG
rnacentral:rRNA from 1 species